UCCCAGGUAGUCCAGUGGUUAGGACACAGCCCUUUCAUUGCCAUGGGCCCGGGUUCAAUCCCUGGUCAGAGAA
rfam:TPA: Bos taurus chromosome 26, whole genome shotgun sequence.